UACAGAGGUCUCGAGCGUUGUUCGGAUUCAUUGAGCGUAAAGGGCGCGUAGGCGGCGGGGUAAGUCUGGUGUGAAAUCUCGGAGCUCAACUCCGAAAUUGCACUGGAUACUGCUCUGCUAGAGGGCUGGAGAGGAGAUCGGAAUUCACGGUGUAGCAGUGAAAUGCGUAGAUAUCGUGAGGAAGACCAGUGGCGAAGGCGGAUCUCUGGACAGCUCCUGACGCUGAGGCGCGAAGGCUAGGGGAGCAAACGGG
rnacentral:rRNA from 1 species